rnacentral:lncRNA from 1 species
ACCCUGGACCAGAAGAAGCAGCGCACCUGCAUUAUUGCAAUUACAACCCCCGAGUCCUUCGAGACCCAUGGGUUCGUCAUGCGCAACCACAAGAGCCAACAGAGGAGACAUAGCCGGAGAGCCAAGAUCACCGGUGGACAAACCCGCCUUUCCAUACGGGCAGGUACUCCACUGAUCCAUAUGGAGCUUCAGGAUCCAGACCUCCGCCCCAAUUUGAUGCAGGACGAUACUCCGAUGCCUCCUACGCUUUCACGAAUAACUACUCUCAAGAGGCCGGUGCUUUCUUCACUCGUACCGACAACACCCUCCUCGACAUCCAGAACACGCAAGCAGAACAUGGAAGACUCCUGGAAGAGCAACAAAAAUGGAACCAGGACCAUGCUGCUGCAGUACAAGAGCUGAGACAAGAUACAACAACAAUGAAUGACAACAUCACAACUAUGAUGCGGUUCUGGAACAUCGGGUAAGACCGACGUCAACAUCCAGCUUGGGGGAGUUCCUCCCUAAUUUAUCAAGUAAGUUUUUAUUUGCUCUUCUUAUUUAUUCUUUUCUAUUUUAGUAUUUUAUCUUAAAAAGGAAAAACUUAGAAAACCCAAUAAAUAUUUUCUUGCUUUAAAUUACUGCAUUUUAUAAACAUGAAAACAAAAUAAAAAGAGUGUGUAGAUAAGUGUGCUUUAUUUAUCUGUUAAGAGUUAAUCUCUAGAAAAAAUAAAAAGACCAAAAAGAUGCAUUAUGGAAAUGAUGAAUAGUUGCUCUGUUUGCUUACUUUCAAGUACCUAGCUUUUAUAUUAGAGUUCUUCCAGGAAUUACUAAAACUGAAACUUACUAUCUUUGGGAAGCAUAAAACUAAUGUCUAGGUAAGCGAAAGGCAUGAUUUAAAGUUGAGCUACUGUUUAUCUUGUUCCUACUACACUAAGUUCUGGAGAUUUAUUUUGAAAACUUACAAAUCACAUGAUGAGAUUCCUAGCAUUACAAACUACCUACCACAACCAUACUUGCUAUAACAUCUUUUACUACACUUACAUUGAGUUUGAUUGAGCUGUGUAGACCCUUAGGAGCUUUUCAUGUGGUUAAAUUAAGAUAUUCACUUGCACACAUCUACUAUACCAUUCAUCAUCAUUCAUUAAAAUUGCUAAAAAUAUUAUCACUCACUGUCCCGAAUAUUGUUAUUCUCUCUCUAAAAAGAUUCAAUGCAGAAGAGGCAUGGGUUAUGCAAAAAUAUGCGAGGAAAUAAAAAGUGGCAAGUGCCUGGAACCUCGAAGAAAAAAAAAGAAGAAAGAAAAAGAGUGAGACGAGAGGUAAAAAUGGACAAGUGUCCAAAGUAGAAUUAGGGGUACAAAGAUACCCACUUGAGCGGAAAAAAUGGACAAGUGUCCGACAGUAGAAUUAGGGGUAUCUACUACCCACCUGAAAAAAAAGAGAUAGCCCAUGUUCUCCCAAAGCAAAGAUCAGAGAAGAGGAGAGAUAGCAAUAUGAGGAGCAAUGAGAAGUAAGUUUCAUUAUCACUUAUACAUUUUUAUCAUCACUAUCAUUUACUCCACCACACAUGCACAUCUUGAUUUAAUUAUAUGCUGAGUUCCUUUUGGAUCCAUAGCUUGAUUAGACAACAUAUGUAUGAGCUGUUUUUUUCACUCCUAUGAGCUCCACUUAAAUAUUCCAUUAGCUAUAGGUAAGUGACAUUAUGGUAAGGAUCCACAAAUACCACAUAUAGAGAGACUUGAGAGAAUCAUUGCUGGGAACUCUGAGUUUUAUUUUGAAAACUUAUGAAAAAUUCUAGAACAAAGGUGAAGUAUAAACAGGAGGAAUAGUGUUUGACUUAACUAUUUUGUCUUUCGAUUACUUAAGAUUUAAGUGCAGGUACUAAACUCCAUAACACUUCACUCUAAUCUGGAAGAAUUUUAUGCAAAAGCAUGUGUGACUGUCAGGAAAGAAAACAUCGAAGCAACUUCUGAUCCGUUUAAGUUUAGCUUUUUGCUCAGGGACG